CUACUUGCAGGAUCCGCGCGCACACCGCUGCGCGAGCCGGCCCUUCUUCCGCCCACACAUGCGCGCGCGCCUGGUCGUCUCUGCGGGCUGAACCCAGAUUUCGCUGGCCCUCGAACUCAACCAAUCAGAGCUUAAUCUGUAGGAAUAAAACCAGCCUGGGAGGAUCCCACCAUAAGAAAAUGGCCUGUCCAAAAUUGUCAAUGAAUUGCAGCUAAAUUGAUCAGCAAAGCAUGGGAUCAGAUGGAAUGGAAAACUAUGGACAACAAUUAAAUUGGGGUGUUAUUCAAUUAUACAAGCAAUUAAUAAAGUACAAAUUUACAGUAUGUAUUUUAAUCAAGUCCAGCCCCUAUUAAAGAUAUGCUCAUGAGCUUGCUAUAAAACCAAUUUGAAUUUUCCAAAAUCAUAUGACCACUGAGUUGUUUAGUCAGAUAAAGCUGUUAAUUUAUUAAAUACCUUAAUAUUAGACAUGGAAAGAAUAGGCUAUAUAUUCCCAUGUUCACUGAACUGGGAGAAAGCUUCAUUGGAUAAUAUAUCCUUUUGCUUAGGUACAUAAAGAGAAUUAAGACAUAUCUACAAUUUUUAAAAAGUAUUUCAAGACAGUAAGUGACUUGUACAUUGCUAUAGCAUGACCUGUUUUGUUUCAGCUUCCUGUUGUGUGAACCGUUUCCUUUUUUUUUAACAUGGUCUAUAAUUUAGCAUUAUAUAUGAAUCUGCAUAAUAGUUUUCAUUAAUAAGAUAAGAUGUGGAUGAAAUGAAAUGAACAAAGUCUUAAUAAAUUACUUAACAUUUUUAAGGUUGCAAAAUAUCAGGAUGUUGUUAGGGUCUUAUUUUUUUGUGGAACAUUCUCUGUUGUGUAAUUAUGACAGGCAUUUACAAAUACAAAUCUGAAAUAUUGUCCUCUGCUUAAUUUUGAAAAGCGAAGUCUCCUGACACUUAUUUUUCAACUAGAAGUCCAUUCAUGAUAUCAAAUUAUUUGAAAUUAUUUAGUAUCUACCUAAACACUAUACCUACUGCUAAAUCUGAAUUGAAUUUCUGCCCAAACUUGCUGUAAAAUGUGCACUUGGGAUUCAGUGUAAUCAGAAACCAUGGUAUAUAAAUUACGGUGGUUAGCUUAUGCUGAGCCAAAAAUAAAACUACAUUGUGUGCAUUGAGGAAAACCUCCAACUUUCAAUCCAUUAACUUCAACUUUCAAUCCCUAAAAGUCCAUACUAUAUUGUAUUAAGCUGGAUUCACAUAUUAGAGUAAACCAUACUUGAUUUUGGCAUAGCAUAUUGAUGAAUAUAACCAUUGUAAUUUGCAGGCUAUAGUUUAACUAUCCCAAAGGUGCUUUUCAAAAGGCAACUGAACUUUCUUAGUUUUUUUUUCUUGAAGAUGUA